GGAUGUGAGGGCGAUCUGGCUGCGACAUCUGUCACCCCAUUGAUCGCCAGGGUUGAUUCGGCUGAUCUGGCUGGCUAGGCGGGUGUCCCCUUCCUCCCUCACCGCUCCAUGUGCGUCCCUCCCGAAGCUGCGCGCUCGGUCGAAGAGGACGACCAUCCCCGAUAGAGGAGGACCGGUCUUCGGUCAAGGGUAUACGAGUAGCUGCGCUCCCCUGCUAGAACCUCCAAACAAGCUCUCAAAUGGCUCCGAGAUAAAACCACUGGCAGAGAGGCUGCAAUGAAGCUGGCAGGUGUGUCGGGGCGGGGGGGAGUGAGGGGGGCUGCUUCAGCAUGUCUACCU
rfam:Dipodomys ordii contig_9790, whole genome shotgun sequence.